rnacentral:rRNA from 1 species
UGGUUUGAUUCUGGCUCAGGAUGAACGCUGGCGGCAUGCCUAAUACAUGCAAGUCGAACGGAGUGAAGCCUUCGGGUUUCAUUCAGUGGCGAACGGGUGAGUAAUACGCAGGGAACCUGGCCAUGGCAGGGGGAUACACUCUGGAAACGGAGCAUAAGACCCCAUAGGCAGUAAGGCGGCAUCGCCUUACUGUUAAAGAAAGCUGAAAGGCUUUGGCGAUGGAUGGACCUGCGGUGCAUUAGCUUGUUGGUGAGGCAACGGCUUACCAAGGCGAUGAUGCAUAGCCGGCCUGAGAGGGCGGACGGCCACACUGGGACUGAGACACGGCCCAGACUCCUGCGGGAGGCAGCAGUAGGGAAUUUUCGUCAAUGGGCGCAAGCCUGAACGAGCAAUGCCGCGUGAGUGAGGAAGGUCUUCGGACUGUAAAGCUCUGUUGCCGGGGAAAAAGGGGAAAUGCAGGAAAUGGCAUUUCAUGGAUGGUACCCGGCCAGAAAGCCACGGCUAACUACGUGCCAGCAGCCGCGGUAAUACGUAGGUGGCGAGCGUUAUCCGGAAUGAUUGGGCGUAAAGGGUGCGCAGGCGGUCUGUUAAGUCUGAAGGCAAAGGGAUGAGCUCAACUCAUUUAUGAUUCAGAAACUGGCAGACUUGAGGACAGGAGAGGGCGGUGGAACUCCAUGUGUAGCGGUAAAAUGCGCAGAGAUAUGGAAGAACACCAGUGGCGAAGGCGGCCGCCUGGCCUGUGACUGACGCUGAGGCACGAAAGCGUGGGGAGCAAAUAGGAUUAGAUACCCUAGUAGUCCACGCCGUAAACGAUGAGGAGCAGGUGUUGGGAGUGAAAUCUCAGUGCCGAAGCCAACGCAGUGACUCCUCCGCCUGGGGAGUAUGCACGCAAGUGUGAAACUCAAAGGAAUUGACGGGGGCCCGCACAAGCGGUGGAGUAUGUGGUUUAAUUCGAAGCAACGCGAAGAACCUUACCAGGUUUUGACAUCGGAUGCGAAGGUGCAGAGAUGCGCUGGAGGCUAUCAUCCAGACAGGUGGUGCAUGGUUGUCGUCAGCUCGUGUCGUGAGAUGUUCAGUUAAGUCUGGCAACGAGCGCAACCCCCGUGGUAUGUUACUAACGCUUAGGGCGAGGACUCAUAUCAGACUGCCGGUGACAAACCGGAGGAAGGCGGGGAUGACGUCAAAUCAUCAUGCCCCUUAUGACCUGGGCUACACACGUACUACAAUGGCGUCUACAGAGGGAAGCGACCCUGAGAAGGGAAGCGAAACCGGAAAAGGGCGUCCCAGUUCGGAUUGAAGUCUGCAACCCGACUUCAUGAAGAUGGAAUCGCUAGUAAUCGCGGAUCAGCAUGCCGCGGUGAAUACGUUCCCGGGCCUUGUACACACCGCCCGUCAAACCAUGGAAGCCGGCAACGCCCGAAGCCGGUGGCAUAACCUUUUAGGAGUGAGCCGUCGAAGGCGGGGCCGAUGACUGGGGUUAAGUCGUAACAAGGUACCC